rnacentral:lncRNA from 1 species
UACGCGCUGGGAACACAGGGCCUGGAGGCAUGAAGGUAAGGUGACCGCAGCUCAGAGAGGCUGAGUAGCUUCCCCAGGAUCACACAGCUGGGGAGUGAAGGAGCCCACACUCGCCACCCCAAACUGCCUCUCUACAUGCACAAGCCUUCUCUGAGGAUCCUGAAGGAAACUGAAUUUACUCACCAGCAUUGGAACAUUCCAUCUGCUGAGUCACACUCACUUCUCUUAUCAUCAUUAACCCUGCGUAGGGGCUCCUGGCGCCAGAAGGAGCAACCCAAAGCUCUUCGUCUUGGGGGCUGGGGAGGAAGAUGGUGCACCCUGGACAACCCUCAGAGGAGGAGAAAAUCACCGGCUCCCAAUUUGGGCAGCGAAUCAGAAGCAGCAUGGAUUCACUGCCUUUUGAAAUAGUGAAACUACCGUCAUUGGAGAAAGGCGAACUGUGGUUAGGCGACCUGGGAUUCCUCCGCUGGGAGAGAGGUUGAACUAGGUGAACUUGAAGGUUUCAUGCAAGGAAAGAGAAGUUAGCUGAUAUUUAUGUAGACCAGCUUCUAGAUUGACACUAAGUACAAAGCUAAUGUGUAUUUACUAUGGCUUUAAUCUAUACUGAUUAAGAAUGUCUCAUUUAUUCACCUGCACCUCAUGUUUUACUUGGCAUGUAUCUUUAUUAUAGUUAAUAUAAAUAUCACAUUAGCUGCUUACAGAACAUAUAGAAUUUGCUGUCCUGAGUUUAUUUACAAGUUAGUACCUCAUUUAUGAGACUUUUUACCCCUUGAGAACAUCCGCCUUCUUCUUGAAAACUGUGACUGGUUCAUUAUAAACAUAUAUUCGUAUAAUGGAGUUAAUGGGGUUAUCAUCUGUUUAUCUCUUUUAAUUAGGCCCUGAUUUGCCCAAACAAUUUCAGUUACUUUCUUGAUUACAGUUGGAGGAGCAUGUGGUUUGGUGUGGGCUUGGUAAAGAGCUGCUGUCUGCUUCUCUAAAUCCACGUAUAGUAUCAUAUGUUCAGGCUGAGUUAAUAUUUGAUAUGUGAGUUGUUCCCUUAUCUUGUUAGAUACUCUUGAUAAAAGAAUUCCCACUCAUGAAUUUUCAUGGAUAUACCUCUGGAAAGGAAUUGAGAAAAAUAAAUGUUGUGCUAUUUGGAAAGGUUGGGAGACACGUUGCAAUCGAG